GCAAUGAUGAUCUUUAAUGAAUGAUAUAUAAUGAUUCAAUUAUUAACCCCUCUAAGAAGAUCUGAGCUG